UAGAAAGCGCCUGGACGUAGGAUUACACGCAUUUAUGUUUUGUAGUUUAAAGUAAAUUAUAUGCUACAUAAGUAUAGACAUAAAUAUACACUAACAACCUACGUUGACGAGGAAGAAACUUAUCGAAAUAUUCGGCGGAUGGUUUCUUGGCAUCUGAUUACUGCCAUAAAUAUUAGUUAAAAACUGAUAGUAAUACCAGAACAAAGCUAAUAGGGU
rnacentral:ncRNA from 1 species